UAAUAGAUUAUGUACCACUCUGUAAUAAUAAUGUGCCUACAUGUUUGUGCACACAGGUAUGUAUGUGUCUAUGCGUAUGUAUUUCUCUCAAGGCUCUAGAAUGCACGGUUGAGGAUUCAUCACAGGAAGUACCCUGAAUGUGCUUGCUCAGUACUGCUCCCUAAGAUUCAUCUAUUCACACAUCCGUUCAGCGAGUGGGUACCGAAGCUGCAUUACCGACCAGGCACGCGCAGACCCUGGCGAGGCCACAGAACCACACACAAGGGUGCUCCUCUGGGCACUUGUAUCCCAGCAGCACCAGCCUCCGUCUGCCUUCGUGUGGCGCAGCAGCUGGCCAUCAAGUCCCAUCUGGGACCGCAGUCGCCUGCCCUCCCUCCAUCCCAGUCCCCUCGUCAUGCGGCCUGUGUCACCCAUACUCCCUGGAAACCUCAGGACGAAUUGCUGAGGGUCCCUGACGCACUCGGCUGUUCUCCACAAGCCCAGACAGCGGCUGUCAUCAGGAGGCAACGGGAAGCUGGCGCAAGAGGCUGCCAUCCUGCAGGUGCACCUGGUGGCCGUCUGCUUCUUUUUCUCUGGAUUCUAGAACUGAGAGGAAAGACUCCCAGUGACAUGAUGCACGUCUGAGAAGAAAACUCUACCAGCUAAAAACUUCCAAAAUAUCAUCCUCAUUGCGCAUUUUGGUUGUUUACUGAAUUCUGACUGCAAGGUUUUAAGUCCUCUCCAUGUAGUUGACCUAUUAUACUUUCUGCUAAAGCAAGUUUACAGAACAAAGAAGAUAUGUGAUUUUUCUUACCCUUUUUUACUCUUCUAGCAGACUGGGUUCCGGGACAAACUGUCUGAAAAAGUAAGUCUUCCAGAUUGUGCCCACUGUCACUCCUUAACCGUGGCUUCAUGAGUGACCCUCAUACUGUCCUCCCCAGGCCCUGCUGGGUGGGGCAGCAGGUCUGAGACAACACAUAUUUGCUCACAAAUGCCAGAGUAUGUUCUUGUAAAGUUAAGAGCACUAAGAGAGUUCAAAGUGACCCAACAAUACAUUGAAACAACUUGGACUGUUUGGAAAUAUUUCUCUUCUUCUCUAAAAAUCAAUUCUUCCCUCCCUGAAAGUAGUACAUUUGAAGAAUGUUUAUGAUGAUCACAAGAGCUCUUGGACAGACCCAACAUCCAGCACUUUAUCUGGCAGCCAGUGGAGCAAAGUGGAUAUGAAUUCAAAUUUGUUCACUGUCAGCGCCUUCAGAUUGAGCUUUUCACAAUUACUGAAAAUCUCUGGGCACCUAACUUCUCUCUGAGAUAAUCACACCAUUUCAACAUACACUGUCUCCAAACAGGAAUGCAAGUCAAUAGGAAAUUAUGUCAACCCAGACACCUGGGGCAGAUUAGGGACAUCUGUUUGGGUACAUUGAUAACCAUGAGACUCCCUUUCCUCUCUCCUCUGAUAACGGGGCAUCACAUAACAAGUAUGUAAAGUGCUUAAUACUGUGCCUAGGACAUAGGAGUUCUCAGCAAAAAUACCUGUCAUUAAAAUCUUAUCAGAAUCA